rnacentral:lncRNA from 1 species
UAGGGUGUGCGAGUUGGCCCAACACCGAGCCCAGAUGGGUGCUCGGGUACCACACGGCGUGCGCCCGCCUCCCCGCCCCCGCCCGGGCAACCGCGCCCCAUUGCCAGCCUCCUCCCAACGUUAACAUGCAUCGAUUUUAAGAUGUAAUUUCUUGAAUAAGGCUGGGCUCAGCAGCCCGCCAAGCAGCUGCUUCAGCCUUACCCAGCAUCAGCCAACGGCGCGAUCAUGCCCGCCCAGUCGUCCCCGCGUCCGUCGAACGGUAAAAUCAGUAACCUGAGGACCCCAACUGAACCCAAAUCCCCCCAUACACGUUCGUUCUGCGACAACGUCCUCUGACAAUGCCGGCAUGGAUUGCAGUUGCCCUCAGGGUUGGCUCUGCGCCUCUACCUCCAUCUCCACCUCCGCAACAUCGCCUUCAACGCGCGUUACGUCGCCGUUCGCCACACUGCCGCCGGCGUCCUGCAGCACGCGUAGGACACGACAUUCACCUCCAUCCAUGACACUGCUUUUGCCGGCGGCCUCCCACUCAGCAUGAAGGUCUGUUAAGACGGCCGUGAAGGUUCCUUUCCUGUCAGCAAGGGGCGGCAGGCUAGGGACGUAGCGGCAGGUGCACUCUAGUGCACUGGGCAGCCCUGCGGCACGUCAGCUGUGGGCACCAGCCGCUGUGUGUGCGCACCAGCCAGUCCGCAGGUAGGCGGCAGGUAGGCAGAAGCGCGGGUGCUGGGCGGCCCAACCGACCUGCCUGGCCGCACCUGGACGAGCCACAUAUUAAUCGACGUGCACUGGUCCGGUCUGGCCUGGUCUGGCCUGGACUGGCCUGGACUGGUUUGGCCCCGUGGCCUGGCCAGGCCUGAUCUUCACUGGUGGUCUGCACUGUGCGGCUUGCUACGCGUGCACAAGGGUCAGGGCCGCAGGGGGGGGGCGCUGGCGCAAGUGUGGUCGUGUCAUAUGUGUUGUUGCUGUGGCCGGACCGCCGGGCGGCAGCAGUGGGUGCACCCACCCACUGCCACCUAGCCCUUCAUUCCUUCAAGAGGCCCCAGGCAACAGGCCGCUGCAGUCGGGCAACGAAGGGGUUGUUUGGUGCAGCCGUGCAGGUGCCCUUGAUGAGCAAGCCCAGCAGCAGGAGCCAUGCCCGCCCGAGCACCCGCCACGCGCCUGUCGGGCUGUCGGCCUGCGGCCUGCGGCGUGCCGUGCCGGCCCCAGCCGAUGAACCAACACUGCCCGAGAGGCCAGCAGCAGGCGGCCUGUGUGCAGGGGCACUGGGCACGCAGGGAACACACACGCUCACAUGUUUGGCCGAACCCUGUCUUCCUGUCACCCCUCCGGAGGGAUCCUCACCCUUACACCUGGCUCCCCACAUCACCCGUCGAUCGACCGUCCUCUGGCUGGUGCGGCCCUCGCAUUGUGCUACAUUCUCUCUUGCAGCCUUCGCCCUCCGCCUUAAACCAAGCCUUAAAACUUGCCUUCGAUGCCCAAUAAUAACGCUCCAGUCCUAGCACGCUGCCCUAUCCAUGGGCAUGGGCUCGAGGGAACACGCUAUUCUGACCUGUUCGGUAUUCCUGGCGGGCAUGUCCCGAGCUCUGUCCUGAGGGAUCUACAGCGGAGUCGAGUCGAUACCGUUAGGGCGUACCGUUAAAGCGGCCUUAGCACAAAACCCUGCUGGCAGGGCCCGGCAGUGUAAGCGGCAGCCAUAGAAUGGUUAUCAUACAUCCUGUGUGUUUGAGUCUUCGUAGUGCUAGUUGUAGUUGUGGCCUGCGUGCGUUUGGACAGCACCACUGCGGAUCUACCUAUUGCGCGUGCGCGUUGUGGCCACCGACUGUCACUACUAUAUAUAAUCCAUUAAUCUAGAGGCUUUCAAAAGAUAAGGUGCCGGGUGGCCAUAAUUGCGACAGUAGCCGCAGUGCACGAAGCGCCUGCAUGCACAGUCCGUAGGACUGCAGUAUCAGGCUUUUGGCUAGGUCAUAUUGUAUAUAAAAUAGAUUAGGAACGUGCUACCUUGUGCUAUGCGCGCCUCUUAGUGCGAGGCUCCAGCUAUGUCGGGUGGCGAUUUCCACUUGCUUGCUUUGCCUGUAGAGCUACAGCUCAGAUGCCUCUCAUUUGCCAGCCUGCGCGAUAUCUGCAGCGCCUGUUCUUGUUGCUUCGCGCUUCGCGCAGUGCGCAGCAGCGCGCUGGCUUCCCACAUAACGGCUGCAUAUCCUUGUUAUGAGCCUGCAAUAUCGCGGGGCUUGGACUCGACUAUGGGUCGGGCCCAGCCCCAGUGCGGCGCCAUCUUAGCGCCAUCGAUGACGCCGACGUCGAUUUCGACUUCCCGCGAGGAGGCUUGGUGCGCGGCGUCAACUUCUUUCAGAUAUCACACCGCGCAGAUACACACGCUGCGUUUGUGGGAGGCCGCGCUUGUGCACGCCACAGUGCCGGUGUUUCCUCCGCCUCGCACCUGCGCCACCCGCGGCCCGGCCGCCCCGGUGAUGCAACCUCGACACCGGGCCAUCUUGGUCGAGUGGCUAGUGGAGGUGAGCGGGCAGGAACGGGGCGCCUGGUCCACCAACGACCCUUUCCCCCCUCGACCCUUUCCCCCCUCGACCGAGACCGCCUCCCAGAGCCGGGCACCGAGUGCCCCCUUCCCUCACGCCAAGGCGGCCCCCUCCGGCCUGACCUAGCCAAUGGCC